UGGGGAAUUUUGGACAAUGGGGGAAACCCUGAUCCAGCCAUCCCGCGUGUGCGAUGAAGGCCUUCGGGUUGUAAAGCACUUUUGGCAGGAAAGAAACGUCGCGGGUUAAUACCCCGCGAAACUGACGGUACCUGCAGAAUAAGCACCGGCUAACUACGUGCCAGCAGCUGCGGUAAUACGUAGGGUGCAAGCGUUAAUCGGAAUUACUGGGCGUAAAGCGUGCGCAGGCGGUUCGGAAAGAAAGAUGUGAAAUCCCAGAGCUUAACUUUGGAACUGCAUUUUUAACUACCGGGCUAGAGUGUGUCAGAGGGAGGUGGAAUUCCGCGUGUAGCAGUGAAAUGCGUAGAUAUGCGGAGGAACACCGAUGGCGAAGGCAGCCUCCUGGGAUAACACUGACGCUCAUGCACGAAAGCGUGGGGAGCAAACAGGAUUAGAUACCCUGGUAGUCCACGCCCUAAACGAUGUCAACUAGCUGUUGGGGGCCUUCGGGCCUUGGUAGCGCAGCUAACGCGUGAAGUUGACCGCCUGGGGAGUACGGUCGCAAGAUUAAAAACUCAAAUGAAUUGACGGGGGUCAUAGCUG
rnacentral:rRNA from 1 species